GCGGGGGUUGCCAAGCCAGGUCAAACGAUAGACUAGAGGCGCAGCCCUGAGGCGGCUGUCCCGUAGGGGUUCGUGGGUUCGAAUCCCACCCCCCGCA
rnacentral:tRNA from 1 species